AAGUCGUAACAAGGUUUCCGUAGGUGAACCUGCGGAAGGAUCAUUAUCACGUAUCCACGUAUAAACCAUUGUGAACUGUGUUAACCUUUGGAGGGAACUGUGUGGAAUGUAUUGUUGUUUGUGAUUUAACAAUCUUUCACAUGCUCUACUGUUCUCUCUGAAGUGUAUUUCUUAAAUCACUUUAUUAACCCUUUAAACCUUAUUUUUUAAAACUCUGAACUAAUUCAUUUCUUACUCUUCGGAGAAGAAAUAUUUUACGAAACUAAAGAACAACUCUUAGCAACGGAUAUCUUGGUUCUCGUAACGAUGAGGAACGCAGC
rnacentral:misc_RNA from 1 species